GACGAACGCUGGCGGCGUGCUUAACACAUGCAAGUCGAACGGUGAUGCGGAGCUUGCUCCGCGGAUCAGUGGCGAACGGGUGAGUAACACGUGAGUAACCUGCCCUGGACUCUGGGAUAAGCGUUGGAAACGACGUCUAAUAGCGGAUAUGACUUCGGAACGCACGUUCAGAGUGGAAAGACUUUCGGUCGGGGAUGGACUCGCGGUCUAUCAGCUUGUUGGUGGGGUGAUGGCCUACCAAGGCGACGACGGGUAGCCGGCCUGGGAGGGUGACCGGCCACACUGGGACUGAGACACGGCCCAGACUCCUACGGGAGGCAGCAGUGGGGAAUAUUGGACAAUGGGCGGAAGCCUGAUCCAGCAACGCCGCGUGAGGGAUGACGGCCUUCGGGUUGUAAACCUCUUUCAGCGGGGACGAAGCGCAAGUGACGGUACCCGCAGAAGAAGCACCGGCCAACUACGUGCCAGCCGCCGCGGUAAGAC
rnacentral:rRNA from 1 species